UAAUAAUGGUAUUUUCAAGUGUGUUGUAGAGUGAAUUAUUUUUAUAAUGGAGUCUUGUGGAUGUACAGAUGUGUUAAAACUUUCUGAAAGAAAAAUUCACACAUGGGUUUUUUUAUCCCUAUAGAAAUCAGUCUCAAAUUUGCCAAUGCCUUUUGGACUCGAUAGUAUGCCAUUUCUAUUGGUAAAAGAAUUGAAAGGAAGGAGCCAUAGGAAUUUGGAAACAGCUUAUUCUCUCCCACCCGCACAGUUACUUACCUGUGAUAGCCAGCUGAGUCACAAAAAAGGUCAUUCUUGACUUCUUCUUCCUCCUCCACGUAGAGAACAGCACCAUGGAGUUUCCAACAAUGGUGAAAACAAACAGGACCCACAGAGUUAUCAACUGUUCAGUCUGUGAGAAACAAAGCAACACAAAACCAGUGUAUUAGUGAGGACCAGGGUACUUUACAGAAUGCAAAUCUCAGGCUUUGUUCCUGGAAUGUCUUCCUCUUGGUGUUGAAUCCUCACCCGUCAAAGCUCUACCCUCAAGAGAACAGAGACGCAGUGGUCCUUAUUUACAAUGAUAGCAGUGGAAAUUGAUGCAACCUUAAGAAAUCUAUUCGGAAAUAUACAUCAGGAGACAACAAAAUGUAUAUAUAUUCUUUGGCCAAGCGAUUGUUUAAGUCUACGUGAAAGAAUUCUAGGUGUGAAAAAAAAAUACUAUGAUAGAAAAGAUGUGGAUAUUUAUUGUAAGAAUAAAUUGCUAAUUGUUCAAAGAUAACAAGAGAAGUAAAUGAAACACUUUAAUUCAGUGAACGAUCAUGUAACUAUUAACAAUGUAACCAGGAAGAUUAUGUAGUGACAUUAAAAAUGCUUAUACUAUAAUAGUAAGUUGAAAAACAUGAUACAAUUAUAUAUUGGGUAUGAUUAUAACUGCAAAAUUCUACAUGUGAAGAAAGACUGAAGUAUACUAAAAUGCUAAGAUGGGUUAUUUUAGGGUAGUGUGAUUAUGGGUUGUCUUAUUCUUUUUCAUUUGACAGAAUUUUAUAAUACAGUAAUAUUAAAGUUCCACUGAGUAAUGUAUAAAUAGUAAAUAACAGAAAAAAUGAGGAAUGCUACUCAUUUAAAAUGCCAAGUCUUUUGCAAGGAAUUUUCCAUGAUUUCUUCAAGUGAAGCUUUCCAUCUGUUUAAAAUCUAUGGCCCAGAAUAAGCAGAGGCCCAGGGCACUGGGGCAGCCUGGACACAAGAAUAAAGCAGAGCAAGGCCAUGGGUGGAAAGCAUGGGGCCAAGGGGAUCCAGAGGCAAGCUUGAAGUCAAAAGCCAAGAGACAUAAGCUCUAAGGGUCUGGGCAGAAUGCUGGUAAGAAUGCAUACAUCUAAUACUGGAAUCUGAAGUGCAGCUCUUACUUGGUGAAGAUAAGAAGAGCCUGAAGAUACCCAUUGUGAUGGUAAAAUUUCAUGUGUCAACUUGGGUAGGCUACAAUGACCAAUAGUUUGGUCAAACAGUCAUGUAAAAUGUUGCUGUGAAGGUAUUUUGUAGAUAUGACUAACAUCUACAUUCAACUGCAGUUUAAAUACAGCGGAAUAACCCUCCAUAACAUGGGUGGGAUUCAUCCAAUAAGUUGAAAGCCUUGAGAGCAAAAACUGAAGUUUCCCAAAGAAGGAUUUCUCGAAGAAUCCCUUGAGAAACAUAGAAAUCAGGCCUGAGUUUCCAGCCUUCUGGCUCAUUUAUGGAUUUAAGACUUGCCAGUCCCACAAUCACCCUCAGAUGAAGAAGAAAGGAAGAAGUCAGAAUGUUUGUGAUGCUUCUUUGCCAGAUCGGGAAUCGAGAUCUCCGCGGUGAGUGGGCAGAGAGCAAAGUCUCGGAGCAGACAGAGAAGGAGGCAUGUUUCUCUGCCGGCAGUGGUUGAGUGUCAGGAAGGUGGUGGAUACAGGGCUGUUUUCCUUACUGGGUCUCCGUCUUCACCAGCACCACCUAUGGCCCUGGUCGGCUGCCCACGUCCCUCAGCUGGAUGAUAGCUGCUUUCCAUGUCUCCCCCAUGGAGUCUGCAGCAUUCGGUGAACUUCCCACAGAAACUCGCCCCACCUCAGACUCUGGACUCCCCUGGGGCCAGCCUCUUCUCAUUGCUUUUCCAGGGAGAGACUCUUCAGUGAAUCUGUCUGCCCUUCCCUCAGAAUGUCUUACCUACUCUCUACUUUAUAGGGAUUCUUCCCAGUUUGCAGAGGUAGGGUCAACCUUCUCUGUUUUCUACUUCUGACACAGAACUUUUUUCAACUAAAAUUGUACUCUGAAGGCCUUCUGGAUGAGAACUGGAGGGAUGAAGAGAUUUAAUCAACUGAACUCAGGUAAAUCUGAACUAGAAGUUAACAUUUUUUCCCAGAAUGUCUCUCUCCUGACGCCUUCCUUUCCUCACAUAACGUUAGUUACUGCCUGCGGUUAAGUACAGUCAGGCCUCAUUUCCAGAAAAACAGCACUGAACUGGUUAAACAGUUUGCUUUUCACAUGGCACAUUGCCAAUUAUGCUGCUGAGAUCGAAGUUCAGAUUUCCAGAAAUCAAGUUUCUCCAUACUGGAAGACCUCCGGCCUCUCAGUGGGCACGGGGCGGCUGUUUUCUUUGUUUUUGUGCUGCACAAUUCCGACCCAGGCAUCCAAUAUCGUCAAAGUAGGCUUGGAGCUCAGAUCUGUUCUGCUGGGAGCCAAGAGUGACAAACACUGCAAAUCAAAUUAUCCUGCUUAGAUAUAUCAGUGAAUUGGAAGUCAGGCCUCAGGAGGGCUGGCACAGUCAGUGCUAGCUUGGUUGAGCCUUUUCUUAGAAGCUUGCAGUAACUGUUUUGGGCUGGUAGACCCAAGGCUCUCCGUAAACCGGUCAGGGUCUAUUCUCCUUGGGAUUGGGUGAUGUCUACAGGGCAGGCUGAGCAGGUCCUGUGAAAUUAGGCCCCCUGCUCUUGCUUUAGUGUUCUCUAUUUGAAGACAAUCUCACCUUACCUCAGAAGCUUCAGGAAAUUUCCAGAUGGAAGAAGACCCCCCCCCCACACCUCCCCAACGCCCUCCUUGCUUUCUGGAGUCUUUCUAAAAGCCAUGUUUACUUCUUUGUUUAUUAAUUCAUUCAAAAUCAAUUAAUUGUCUAUAGUAUAAGGCGUUGGCAUUAUAAGGGAAAAUAAAACAUGUAGAGUAUAUAAAUUGUGCUCGGCCAAGUUUAAAUCCUGUUUCAGUCAAGUAGUACAAGGGGAAUUAAGUAUGCAAACACUUACUUGUAGGAUCAUUUAUUCAUAGUGUUCUUACCCAUGUGUGCACAGACACAUAGACCCACACAAAUCCCACGGUAAUAUGAGGAUUUGGAAAAUUACGACAAUGGGAAUUCAGGAAGCAAGUUCAGAGACAUUUGACUAUCACAAUCUGGUGAGUGAUGUGUAGAAAAGUGGGUAGACUUCGAAACCAGCCCGACCUGGGAUCAGAUUCUUUGUUACUUGCUAGAUGUGUGUUACAUUGGUAAAUGAUAAUCUGAGUCUAUUUUCUCAUUUAUAAAAUGAAGAUAAAGAUAAACUCUGCCA